UCCCGUUUAUCACGGGCAGUUUCCUCAGAGAGCCCUUACGGGCAACAUGGGAUAAGGGUUGCGCUCGUUGCGGGACUUAACCCAACAUCUCACGACACGAGCUGACGACAACCAUGCAGCACCUCUACCAGCUCCCUUGCGGGUCAUUCCCCUUUCGGGGUUUUACCACUGGCAGUUCAAGCCCAGGUAAGGUUCUUCGCGUUGCGUCGAAUUAAACCACAUACUCCACCGCUUGUGCGGGCCCCCGUCAAUUCCUUUGAGUUUCAGCCUUGCGGCCGUACUCCCCAGGCGGUUCACUUAAUGCGUUAGCGUCGACGCGGAAGGGGUCGAUACCUCCCACAUCUAGUGAACAUCGUUUACAGCUAGGACUAC
rnacentral:misc_RNA from 1 species